GGCGAGUUAGCCAAGCGGUCUAAGGCGCCAGACUAAGGUUUCACAUGUCAAAUGUGAAGUUGCAAUCUGGUUCUUCGGAGCGUGGGUUCGAAUCCCACACUCGUCA